rnacentral:rRNA from 1 species
UGGGGAAUUUUGGGCAAUGGGCGAAAGCCUGACCCAGCAACGCCGCGUGAAGGAUGAAGUAUUUCGGUAUGUAAACUUCGAAAGAAUAGGAAGAAUAAAUGACGGUACUAUUUAUAAGGUCCGGCUAACUACGUGCCAGCAGCCGCGGUAAUACGUAGGGACCAAGCGUUGUUCGGAUUUACUGGGCGUAAAGGGCGCGUAGGCGGCAAUUCAAGUCAUCUGUGAAAUCUCCGGGGCUUAACUCGGAACGGUCAGAUGAUACUGCUUUGCUAGAGUGCAGAAGGGGCAAUCGGAAUUCUUGGUGUAGCGGUGAAAUGCGUAGAUAUCAAGAGGAACACCUGAGGUGAAGACGGGUUGCUGGGCUGACACUGACGCUGAGGCGCGAAAGCCAGGGGAGCAAACGGGAUUAGAUACCCUUGUAGUCCCUGAGCGGGCUGGCAAGGCGCAU